GACGAACGCUGGCGGCGUGCUUAACACAUGCAAGUCGAACGGAAAGGCCCUGCUUUUGUGGGGUUCUCGAGUGGCGAACGGGUGAGUAACACGUGAGUAACCUGCCCUUGACUUUGGGAUAACUUCAGGAAACUGGGGCUAAUACCGGAUAGGAGCUCCUGCUGCAUGGUGGGGGUUGGAAAGUUUCGGCGGUUGGGGAUGGACUCGCGGCUUAUCAGCUUGUUGGUGGGGUAGUGGCUUACCAAGGCUUUGACGGGUAGCCGGCCUGAGAGGGUGACCGGCGACAUUGGGACUGAGAUACGGCCCAGAAUGCUACGGGAGGCAGCAGUGGGGAAUAUUGCACAAUGGGCGGAAGCCUGAUGAAGCAACGCCGCGUGCGGGAUGACGGCCUUCGGGUUGUAAACAGAUUUCGCCUGUGACGAAGCGUGAGUGACGGUAAUGGGUAAAGAAGCACCGGCUAACUACGUG
rnacentral:rRNA from 1 species